rnacentral:rRNA from 1 species
GACGAACGCUGGCGGCGUGCCUAACACAUGCAAGUCGAGCGGAGUCGAUCGACGGAAGCCUUCGGGCGGAAGAUGGUUGACUUAGCGGCGGAUGGGUGAGUAACGCGUGGGCAACCUGCCUCGAAGACCGGGAUAACAGCCCGAAAGGGCUGCUAAUACCGGAUGUGGUCAAAGAUCCGCAUGGAUUUUUGAUUAAAGGGGAAACCCGUUUCGAGAUGGGCCCGCGUCCUAUCAGCUAGUUGGUGAGGUAAAAGCUCACCAAGGCGACGACGGGUAGCCGGCCUGAGAGGGUGACCGGCCGACACUGGAACUGAGACACGGUCCAGACUCCUACGGGGGCAGCAGUGGGGAAUCUUCCACAAUGGCGAAAGCCUGAUGGAGCGACGCCGCGUGAGCGAAGAAGGCCUUCGGGUUGUAAAGCUACUGUCUGGAGGGACGAAGGAAGUGACGGUACCUCCGGAGGAAGCACGGCUAACUACGUGCCAGCAGCCGCGGUAAUAUCACGUUA